rnacentral:rRNA from 1 species
CAGCCGCCGCGGGAAUACGAAGGGUGCAAGCGUUACUCGGAAUUACUGGGCGUAAAGCGUGCGUAGGCGGCUUCUUAAGUCGGAUGUGAAAUCCCUGAGCUUAACUUAGGAAUUGCAUUCGAUACUGGGAAGCUAGAGUAUGGGAGAGGAUGGUAGAAUUCCAGGUGUAGCGGUGAAAUGCGUAGAGAUCUGGAGGAAUACCGAUGGCGAAGGCAGCCAUCUGGCCUAAUACUGACGCUGAGGUACGAAAGCAUGGGGAGCAAACAGGAUUAGAUACCCGGGUAGUCCCUGUCUCUUAUAC